rnacentral:lncRNA from 1 species
AUUGUGCUUGUGCCUGCUGCUGCACACUCGCAGGCACGGGGCUAUAAUGAGGCGCACGCGAUCCCGGCUUCUCAACUUUGCCUUCUCGAAGGACACCGGGGUUUUAAAUCGCCUGGGCUAGAAUUACCAGGAAGGAAAAGAGAGAGAAAUGAAAUCCCAACUGUACCUGACGGCGUCUGGGAAUCCCUCGCCGGCACCGAUCAUAAUCCCCCUCCGCGCCUCUGGCCCCCCACACCAAAACUUUUCCGCUGCCGCCGCCGCUCCUCGGUUCUGACCGCCGCCCGCCGCUCCUGGCCAGCCCCUGGGGCCCGCUGCCCGCCGCCGCUCCGCUCCGGAGCGGCCCCCGCGUCUCCCUCCUCCCUUAGGAGGCAGCGGCAUCGUCCUCCCCCCUUCUCCUCCACCUCCUCCUACGGCGCGCAGCCCGCGGCUCUGGCAUCCCCAACGCACUUUCUCUCCUCGAUUCGCUCCUCUUUUCCCCGCCGCUCCUCCUUCUCCGGCAAAAAAGAAAUGAGAAGGGGCCACAGGGACGUUGCUUUCUUUUUCUUUCUUUUUUUUUUUUUUUUCUCUCUCUGUCUCUGUCCUCUAGAAAUGGUGCGAGGAUCACAUGAGACGCUGGCACGGAGACCCAGGACCCUUGGACGUCGGAGGAGGCAGCGGACACAUAGAUGUACUUACCUUCAAGUGCUACUAAUUGAAUUCCUGUUGCAUAGAGCUAUAAUCCACACUGCGUGUUCGAAGUUCUGAAACUGAUGGUUGUGCUCCCAGCUGCUCCAUGCCACAGGAAGGUGGGACAAUGCUGGAACUGGUCUGCGGGGGUAAUACUACCCAGGUGACCCUACAGGCACAUCCUGUUCUCUUACGGAAGAACCUUGGCUCAUGGAGGAAACAGUCAUUUCCUUUACAGUGGAGAUGCACUUGCAAGUGUUAGGUGUCUAUCAGCAGAACACCACUAGGUAUAUCUUUUGCAGGUGGUUUGGAGACUGCCUUCAGGAUUAGGCUUGUGAAGCACAAAGAGAGGUUCUGUGUGUUUUGUUCAGGGAUGUACAUUCUACACACACACUCACUGUUAAACCACUCAUGCAGUGCCAGAGGGAUGGAGGUUUGUGCCUCAUCUAGAAUCAAAAAUAAUGUGGACAACUAACAGAGAAGAAGCAAAGUGUUCAAUGAAGAGUGUCUGCUGUUCUUUUAGACUGAAUGUAACAGGCUGCCAAAUACAUCUAAUAUGAGUGCCCUAUCCCUACUUUCCACGAGUAAUCACAUAGCUAUCUGUACUACUGCAAAUGUUCUUGUUGGCUUGAGGAUAACAAAAAAAGAGCCAAAGAUCCUACCAUAUCGUCAGCUUUAAAUUUAGAGUAAUGAAAUAUUUCUCUGGAGUGACUGAGAAAGUUUGCAUGCCCAAUGAGACUAUGAAGAUAUGUAUUCCAUACUCCCAGUGUGUUCUUGAGUACAGCUUCUAAACUGCCUGUGCCUGGAUUUUCCUUCCAUAAUGAUGAUAAUAAUACCUUUCUUGUCAACAUUUUUCUCCUACCUAUUGAAGUUUCUGGCAAAGGAGUUAUCUGCUUAUUGGUAACUUGUGCAGAAUCUAAUGCACUGAGGCCCAGUUCCUGGCUCGUGUUCCAGGCAUUACUGUAAUAUAAAUAGUAAUAGUAUAGAUACACUCUUGAGGAUUACUAUAUAAGUAUUUAUAUAUAUGUAUAUAUGUAUAAAGACUAUGUUGAGUAAAGCAGAUAGAAUUAUACUGAAA